GGAGAGGUGCGAGAGUGGCUUAAUCGGCACGAUUGGAAAUCGUGUGUGCCGGAAGGUACCGAGGGUUCGAAUCCCUCCCUCUCCGCCA
rnacentral:tRNA from 1 species